AGGAGUUUGAGAAGAAGUUAACAGCAGUGCAUACAAAAGGUCUGGAAGAUGAAGAGCGAGAGCAGCAGCUGGAAAAGCAGAAAAACACUCCUGUGCCCAAGAGUGCUCGCAGACCAACACGAGGUUGUGGGAAAUCCCAGAUGGAUGACAGUGACUUGGUGACCCCCAAAACCUCCCAUGCUCGCCCCAAAAUAGUCAUCACCUUUAGCAGUGACGAAGAAGAGGAGGAAGAAGAUGCUGUCAUGGCAGAGAGUGAGACUCCAAAGGUCACCACCCCCAUCUCACGUACCCGACGCACUCAUCUACACCACUAGCCUUUCUUUUGGUUCCAUCACCCAGGUCUCUGCUACCCUUUCCCCUGUUUUUAUAUUUCUAUGUGUAUGUUUAUUCUGUCCAUUCUGAAGGCACUAUUUUUAUGCUUUUUCUUAUUUUUUUUUC